rnacentral:rRNA from 1 species
GAUGAACGCUAGCGGCAGGCUUAAUACAUGCAAGUCGUGGGGCAGCAGGUCUGUAGCAAUACAGAUGCUGGCGACCGGCAAACGGGUGCGGAACACGUACACAACUUUCCUUUAAGUGGGGAAUAGCCCAGAGAAAUUUGGAUUAAUACCCCGUAACAUAGUGAAAAGGCAUCUUUUUAUUAUUAUAGCAGCAAUGCGCUUAAUGAUGGGUGUGCGUCUGAUUAGGUAGUUGGCGGAGUAAUAGCCCACCAAGCCUACGAUCAGUAACUGGUGUGAGAGCACGACCAGUCACACGGGCACUGAGACACGGGCCCGACUCCUACGGGAGGCAGCAGUAAGGAAUAUUGGGCAAUGGACGCAAGUCUGACCCAGCCAUGCCGCGUGGAGGAUGAAGGUCCUCUGGAUUGUAAACUUCUUUUAUCUGGGAAGAAAUCCAUCUUUUCUUGGGUGGUUGACGGUACCAGAUGAAUAAGCACCGGCUAACUCCGUGCCAGCAGCCGCGGUAACAC